AGUGAACGCUGGCGGCAGGCCUAACACAUGCAAGUCGAGCGGCAGCGCGGGGGCAACUCUGGCGGCGCGCGGCGGACGGGUGAGGAAUUGGUAGGACUCUGCCUCUUUGUGGGGGAUAACGUAGGGAAACUUACGCUAAUACCGAAUCCGCCCUACGGGAGAAAGUGGGGGACCGGAAGGCCUCACGCAGAAAGAUGAGCCGACGACCGAUUAGCUAGUUGGUGGGGUAAAGGCCCACCAAGGCGACGAUCGGUAGCUGGUCUGAGAGGAUGAUCAGCCACACUGGAACUGAGACACGGCCCAGACUCCUACGGGAGGCAGCAGUGGGGAAUAUUGGACAAUGGGCGCAAGCCUGAUCCAGCCAUGCCGCGUGUGUGAAGAAGGCCUUCGGGUUGUAAAGCACUUUUGUCCGGAAAGAAAGCCCUAAAGCUAAUACCUUCGGGGGAUGACGGUACCGGAAGAAUAAGCACCGGCUAACUUCGUG
rnacentral:rRNA from 1 species